rnacentral:misc_RNA from 1 species
GGGGAUACGGUGGAACCAGGUACCAAGGUCGCUGUUAUUUCAAAAUCUGGUGAAGGUGUAACUCAUGUUGCUCCUUCUGAGAAGACAUCAGAGCAAGCUGCACCUCAAGCUGCUCCAGCUGAAAAAAACAGAAAAGCCUAAAGCUGAAACUACGGUCAGUGAGAAGCCUAAAGCACCAUCUCCACCACCUCCUCCUAAACGUUCAGCUACAGAACCCCAG